rnacentral:miRNA from 1 species
UGUUUGUAUAGUGUGUGUAUAUAAUGCAGUGUGUUUGUGUAGUGUGCAUUAUAUAAACACACUACACAAACACACAGCAUUAUAUACACACACUACACAAAC